CCUACGUGGGGCAGCAGUGAGGAAUAUUGGUCAAUGGGCGCGAGCCUGAACCAGCCAAGUAGCGUGAAGGAUGACUGCCCUACGGGUUGUAAACUUCUUUUAUAAAGGAGUAAAGUGAGGCACGUGUGCCUUUUUGUAUGUACUUUAUGAAUAAGGAUCUGCUAACUCCGUGCCAGCAGCCGCGGUAAUACGGAGGAUCCGAGCGUUAUCCGGAUUUAUUGGGUUUAAAGGGAGCGUAGGUGGGUUGUUAAGUCAGUUGUGAAAGUGUGCGGCUCAACCGUAAAAUUGCAAUUGAUACUGGCAGUCUUGAGUACAGGUGAGGUAGGCGGAAUUCGUGGUGUAGCGGUGAAAUGCUUAGAUAUCACGAAGAACACCGAUUGCGAAGGCAGCUUACUAAACUGCCACUGACAUUGAGGCUCGAAAGUGUGGGUAUCAAACAGGAUUAGAUACCCUAGUAGUC
rnacentral:rRNA from 1 species